UACCAUAGAGGGAGGGGCUAGUGGGUAGGAGGUGUGGAGGAGGAGCUAGUGGGUAGGAGGUGUGGAGGAGGAGCUAGUGGGUAGGAGGUGUGGAGGAGGAGCUAGUGGGUAGGAGGUGUGGAGGAGGAGCUAGGGGGUAGGAGGUGUGGAGGAGGAGCUAGUGGGUAGGAGGUGUGUAGGAGAAGGUAGUGAGUAAUCGUAGGAGGUGGUGAGGAGGACUGACCAGCGAGGGGAAGGUAAACUUCUGGUCUUUGUCCUGGAGGAAGACGAGGAUAUCAGACAUCAG